UGUAUAGUUAUUAUCACUGCAUGAUGAAAUGGAAAAUCAGCAAUUGAGUGGUAGAUAAGGAUGUUUUUUUACUGAUAGAUUGCCAAGAUAAUGCCUAUAGGUCUAUCUGUGGGUGGGUCCAGUGAGAUCCUAUAAAACCAGAAAGAUGUGCUGCUUUCAUAACCAAGGGGAAAGGUGGUAAGGCAGCAUUACUCUCGCACAACGCUAUAAUUUGUCCUAGUCACACAGGAACAUAGAAACAGGAACUACUAGGUCCGUUCUACUAGAUACAGGAUUUCUCUAACCUUACAAAUCUUGACAGAUCUACACUCCAAACAUGAACAACAACGCUUCUCAGCCUGGGCAGAAUGGAGUUGGGAAGAGUGCAGCAGGAGGCAUCACCUGUCUCGCUGAGAAGCCACUGGAACCUAUCGGUCCCUUUUCGGGUGUCGGCUCUACUGUUGGCGCGAUCGCAGGACGAACAGUUGGAGGAGUAUUGGGAGGAAUAGUAGGAGGAGCUGUGGGAUCUGCAGUUGAUUCUGCAUACCGCCAAUCUUACUAUGAGAAAAAUAAAUGUCCAGAAUGAAUGAAUCAGUUGUUAAACUAUCAUACCAGAUAACCUUUAUAUGGCUUCUACCUUGAUUUGUUAUUGCAUAAAUACUAUGUAUUAUAAAUGUUUCUGUAAUUCUUUGUAUUGGUUCAAUCUAACUGAAGUGUCUGUAUGCUGAGAGACAGUGAGUCCAUGCCUUUACAAACAUUGAGUGUAUGACUUUUGGCUCUUUGCCACCUGGAACACAAUGGUUUCAGUUUUACAUCCUCCUCAUAACUCACAUUUAACUAUGUUUUAAUGAAAUCUGAACAUAUCAGUUCAUGCCUUAAGGAUAGAAUCCUUAAUCGAAACAAUAACAAAGCCGUCACCCCUCUGUUUAGGUAAAGAGCUGGGAAACGGGCCUGAAGAAAGAUAACCAUUCUCAGAUUCAUAGAUCUAUGCCUACAAGGACUGACCAUCCAUGAUAUCAACAUUAUAGUUUUAACCAUGUUUUGAGGCUAUGCAGUGUUUGUUUAUGUUCACAUUGUUUACAAACAUUGGAGUAAUGUUAUAAUUAUACACAUAGGAUGUUAUUCUUUUUCUCUUUCUCUCUUGUUUUAGAUAAUGGGUGUUGGGUUGUAAGAUACAAGAAAGAAACAAAACAUACUGUAUCAUUAAAUAAUGGACCAAUAUUGGCUGGUUUUGUGACUAGAGAAGCAGUGUGACUACUAUUGGUGGGUGUUUUGUUAUUUUACUAAAAGCAGAGCAUAUGAGAUCAUACUGGAGAUAUGCAUUUAGUUGGUUACGAAUGAAAACACUGUCACUCUGUGGUAGGAACCUGAUACAACAAUACCAGGGUCAGACAAUCAAAUAGCAAUGUAGAUAGUUUUACAGGAGUUCUGAUGAUGGAGAGAACUCAACGUUUGACUGCUUUAGGUUUGAUUUAUAUCUAAACCACACUGAAACAGACUUUCAUCUCUAAGCAGGACUUCCAUAUUUACAUAUUUUAAGCUUGCUGUAUUGUAGACUGUACAAUGUAAAGUGUCAUUAAAGCUGACCAAAUAAUAUGAAUAUACCUGCAUUUAGUUUCAUAUUUUUCAUACCAUACUUCACAAAUAUGAUUAUUAUAUGAAUAAACCUGUAUUUAUUUUGCGUCUGAAUACUGUACCUGACCUGUAAUCCCCCAACUAAAAGAACUACAAACAAAAUUAAAAAGCUGGU
rnacentral:lncRNA from 1 species